UACGUAGGGUGCAAGCGUUGCCCGGAUUUAUUGGGCGUAAAGGGCGCGUAGGCGGCUCGGCACGUCCGUUGUGAAAUCGCCCGGCUCAACUGGGCGGGGUCAGCGGAUACGGUCGAGCUUGAGCAAGCUAGGGGGCAAUGGAAUUCCCGGUGUAGUGGUGGAAUGCGUAGAUAUCGGGAGGAACACCAGUGGCGAAGGCGGUUGCCUGGAGCUUUGCUGACGCUGAUGCGCGAAAGCGUGGGGAGCGAUCCGG
rnacentral:rRNA from 1 species